UGGGGAAUUUUGGACAAUGGGCGAAAGCCUGAUCCAGCAAUGCCGCGUGUGUGAAGAAGGCCUUCGGGUUGUAAAGCACUUUUGUCCGGAAAGAAAUCCUUGGCUCUAAUACAGUCGGGGGAUGACGGUACCGGAAGAAUAAGCACCGGCUAACUACGUGCCAGCAGCCGCGGUAAUACGUAGGGUGCAAGCGUUAAUCGGAAUUACUGGGCGUAAAGCGUGCGCAGGCGGUUUGCUAAGACCGAUGUGAAAUCCCGGGCUCAACCUGGGAACUGCAUUGGUGACUGGCAGGCUAGAGUAUGGCAGAGGGGGGUAGAAUUCCACGUGUAGCAGUGAAAUGCGUAGAGAUGUGGAGGAAUACCGAUGGCGAAGGCAGCCCCCUGGGCCAAUACUGACGCUCAUGCACGAAAGCGUGGGGAGCAAACAGGAUUAGAUACCCUGGUAGUCCACGCCCUAAACGAUGUCAACUAGUUGUUGGGGAUUCAUUUCCUUAGUAACGUAGCUAACGCGUGAAGUUGACCGCCUGGGGAGUACGGUCGCAAGAUUAAAACUCAAAUGAAUUGACGGGGUCAUAGCUGUUUCCU
rnacentral:rRNA from 1 species